rnacentral:lncRNA from 1 species
CAGCAAUAAACCACAACACCAUUAUAAAGAUUUUCUUUCUACAAACUUUAGAUAAUCUCUCACAUGAAUUUUCAUUUCAGUAAUACGGCCAGCUGUCAUCCCCCCCCACUGCCAAAGACAGACCUUGUGGCCAAGUACCAUUGGUACUGUAAAAUGUGGAAACGGCAGCCCCCACCCGGGGAGGCCGACCACCGCCGCCUCAGGUGGAACAUCCGGGUAUGUGUGGGAUGAGGCAUGAAGUUAUUACAACGUCAGUUUCAUUGACUGAUGGCAACAUUGCUGCCCAGGUCAGGAGCAGCUGGCACAAGGAACAAUCCCUGAAAAGGAAGAUAAACCCCCCAAAAAAUACCACCACUACCGCAAGGGGUGAGACAGGCAGCCCCCACCGGGAGGCGGACCGCCGCCUCCUCCGGUGGCAAGUCCGGGAGCAAUUGGCCCAUGGGCUGCUGCCCAAAACAAAAGAAAAGAAAAGGCCACCAAAGCUCACCGACAGACACCCUCAGAAAAAUAGACAAGAGGAACAGCUGAAGGACCAAUUGGCCUGUGGGCUGCUGCCCGUAAGUAUUUCUCCAGGUUUUUUUUUUUCAAUUAUAUAUAAAAACCUUCCAAGGUGUCCGAAUUGGAGUAUUUAUUUCUUAACCUGCCGUUUUGUUUGUUUGUUCAGAAAACAGCAGGAAAGAAAAAACCACCCAAGUAAGUUCCUAUGCUGUAGUAGCACCCAGAUUUUCAGUAUAAUCUGCGAUGACAGGUCCGGGUACCAGCGGGGCUGGGAAGAAAACCCGCCACCUGGGGACGUCAACCGGCGCCCUCUCCGGUGGAAGAUCCGGAUAUGUGUGGGAUGAG